UUGGAGGGCAAGUCUGGUGCCAGCAGCCGCGGUAAUUCCAGCUCCAAUAGCGUAUAUUAAAGUUGUUGCAGUUAAAAAGCUCGUAGUUGAAUUUCGGGAUCAGCAAGUUGGUCGUGCCUCUGGUACGUACUGGCUUUACUGGUUCCUCCUUCUUGAAGAACUGUAAUGUCAUUGAUUUGGUGUUGCAGGGAAACAGGACUGUUACUUUGAAAAAAUUAGAGUGUUUAAAGCAAGCUAACGCUUGAACACAUUAGCAUGGAAUAAUGAAAUAGGACGUUUGAUCCUAUUUUGUUGGUCUCUAGGAUUGACGUAAUGAUUAAUAGGGAUAGUUGGGGGCAUUAGUAUUCAAUUGUCAGAGGUGAAAUUCUUGGAUUUAUUGAAGACUAACUACUGCGAAAGCAUUUGCCAAGGAUGUUUUCAUUAAUCAAGAACGAAAGUUAGGGGAUCGAAGACGAUCAGAUACCGUCGUAGUCUUAACCAUAAACUAUGCCGACUAGGGAUCGGACGAUGUUAAUUUUUCUUGACUCGUUCGGCGCCUUACGGGAAAC
rnacentral:rRNA from 1 species